rnacentral:misc_RNA from 1 species
UCUCCGUUGGUGAACCAGCGGAGGGAUCAUUACAGAGUUCCACAACUCCCAACCCCUGCGAACCGUACCCCAGUUUUCUCUCGUUGCCUCCUGACGGCGGGCCCCCGGCGCCACCGCCGCGGCCCCCGCCAUCGGCCGCGAGCCCCCUGAACCUUUUUUUCUCAACCAGCACGUCUGAGCAAACAAACAAAUGAAUCAAAACUUUCAACAACGGAUCUCUUGGUUCUG